rnacentral:rRNA from 1 species
UUAUCUAUGGAGUAGCGGCGGGGGUGAGUACACGUGGGUAACCUGCCUGUAAGACUGGGAUAACUCCGGGAAACCGGAGCUAAUACCGGAUAGUUCCUUGAACCGCAUGGUUCAAGGAUGAAAGACGGUUUCGGCUGUCACUUACAGAUGGACCCGCGGCGCAUUAGCUAGUUGGUGAGGUAACGGCUCACCAAGGCGACGAUGCGUAGCCGACCUGAGAGGGUGAUCGGCCACACUGGGACUGAGACACGGCCCAGACUCCUACGGGAGGCAGCAGUAGGGAAUCUUCCGCAAUGGACGAAAGUCUGACGGAGCAACGCCGCGUGAGUGAUGAAGGUUUUCGGAUCGUAAAGCUCUGUUGUUAGGGAAGAACAAGUGCAAGAGUAACUGCUUGCACCUUGACGGUACCUAACCAGAAAGCCACGGCUAACUACGUGCCAGCAGCCGCGGUAAUACGUAGGUGGCAAGCGUUGUCCGGAAUUAUUGGGCGUAAAGGGCUCGCAGGCGGUUUCUUAAGUCUGAUGUGAAAGCCCCCGGCUCAACCGGGGAGGGUCAUUG